rnacentral:rRNA from 1 species
GAUGAACGCUGGCGGCGUGCCUAAUACAUGCAAGUCGAGCGAACAGAUGAGGAGCUUGCUCCUCUGACGUUAGCGGCGGACGGGUGAGUAACACGUGGAUAACCUACCUAUAAGACUGGGAUAACUUCGGGAAACCGGAGCUAAUACCGGAUAAUAUAUUGAACCGCAUGGUUCAAUAGUGAAAGACGGUUUUGCUGUCACUUAUAGAUGGAUCCGCGCCGCAUUAGCUAGUUGGUAAGGUAACGGCUUACCAAGGCAACGAUGCGUAGCCGACCUGAGAGGGGGAUCGGCCACACUGGAACUGAGACACGGUCCAGACUCCUACGGGAGGCAGCAGUAGGGAAUCUUCCGCAAUGGGCGAAAGCCUGACGGAGCAACGCCGCGUGAGUGAUGAAGGUCUUCGGAGCGUAAAACUCUGUUAUUAGGGAAGAACAAAUGUGUAAGUAACUAUGCACGUCUUGACGGUACCUAAUCAGAAAGCCACGGCUAACUACGUG